rnacentral:lncRNA from 1 species
ACUCCCUACCUCAUCCCUUUUAAAUCAAAGCUGGACCUGGCAACAUCUGUAGGUCAUUAAUGUUAUCUUCAGUGUCUGUGGCUCAUUGCUCUUAUAUAAACCCUCAGCUUAGGCUGGCUUGCAGCUUAUAGGAUGCUUUACUAAGGAAAAAGAUUGGGAGCACUUGGGGGAGGGGGAAUGAAGAAAUGGAAGCCCCUCACUUGGGGAAAAGAUGGUGAAAUUUGUCUCUGAAAUGGGAAGAGAAUUCAUCAACCCUUAAAGUCCUGUUUGAAGAGCUGGGAAAUGUUCUGCCAACGUGAUGGUGAAAAGCUGCUUUAGGCUGAGAAGGGAAGGUGUGCAAUCAACCAUGCUCCAGGAGGACACAUGAUUUCAGAUCUAGGGCUCAGAAACCAGUCUCUGCAUUCCCCUGUCCACUGAGUGGCACACAGUCCCUGCGCAAAUGGAUAGCCAUGGCUUGGAAGAGGACACAAUAGCAAGUGUGAAAUAUUGCCUUGGAAUCCAUCGUCUCACGAUUCACCUUGGGUCUGGCCUGGAGGAUUGUGCAAUUUCUGCGGUCUGCUCCAGUGCAAACAGGAAAAAGAAUCCGAGCCUCAGUUUUUACAAUGUGCAGCUUGCGUGCAGGAAACGCAUCGACUCAGCAGCAUCUCUGGGACAUUUAUUGCUCUCUGCUCUCUCGCCAGCAAGGCCUGGGCCAUUAGCUCUGCUGGCGGACAGCUCUGAGCCAUUGGCGUUCGUUGGGCCUCUGGUGGCCCAUCAUCCUGCUGGAGGUCAGCUGGAACAGGGCUGGAGGAGUCUGCAGGCGCUGCUUGGGAAAUAG